rnacentral:hammerhead_ribozyme from 1 species
GCACUGCCGAUGAGUCCCAUAAUAGGACGAAACGGCUGUCCAGUGC